rfam:Triticum aestivum genome assembly, contig: Triticum_aestivum_CS42_TGACv1_scaffold_407385_5BL
UGUAUGCUCCCUCCGUCCGAAAGUACUUGUCAUCAAAAUGGACAAAAGGGGAUGUAUCUAGAGCUAAAAUACAUCUAGAUACAUCCCCUUUUAUUCAUUUUGAUGAAAAGUAUUUCCGGACAGAGGGAGUGGUAU